rnacentral:lncRNA from 1 species
GCAGAGGCUUAACCCACUGAGCCACCCAGGUACCCCAAAACUGAAUAGUUUUGAAGAGCAACCCUCCUAAUAAUUGCCUUUCAUGUAUGCAGCCAUUACAAAAUAUGCAGCUUGAUUGAUGGUUAUUUAUAAAUUAGUGUGGGGUAAUACGCUUGGUGGGGGGACAUAAGUCACUGUGGAAGAUGAACUUAGAGUCUCCAGUGUUGGAAAUGGACUGAUUCCACCAUGUCCCGGCACAGUUUAAAGCCAGAGGGAUCGGUAUUAAACACACAGUGAAGCUUUUGUGCUGUGAGGUGGUUAGUUUUCAAAGCAGAAGUCCACAUGUGAGUGUGACCGUUUUCAGACAGACUUGAGUGCCUACCCUAGGAGAUGUCACAGGCCGGCAAGUACAGGAGGCCUCGCCUCGCUGGGUCUGAGCCCUCGGGUGGGGGUAGGGGGGCCCGCAGCACACCCUUUGAACCCAGGUUGAGGGGGUGUUUGCUUUGCAGAGGCUCUUGGUGCAGAACUCUGGCACACCACGAGUGUACCUGUUGGUGAGGGCCGUGGCUUUCCUUCGUUUUAGGUUGGGGUUGUGCCACUGUGAGCUGCCAGCAGUGUUUAGGGCUCCCGAUCACGCACAGACCUGCCUCUGAGAGCGUAAAGGAGUCUUGGGUUGGAUCCAGCUUCCGCAGUGGGCAGGCUUAGCAGGCCAAGAGCAGUCCCGCAGCUGACGGAGAAAGAAGGCUCCGGUCCUCGGGGCACCUGCCGCCACCGUUCCCUGGGCUGCUCUCAGCCACCUGGGCCAGUGGACUCCUCACCCCGAUGUCCUCCAGAAACCCACCAAGGUGGCUGGUUCAGGAUCCUAGAAGCACACUAUUCAGAGAAACAGGACACCACCGGAGGACUAAACUGAGUAACACCGAAGGACAGUCUUUGCGUGGAGACCGCCUGGGUUUGAAUCCCGGUUCCGCUGAAGAGCUGUGUGACCUUGAGCAGAGCCUCUCAGUCUCUUCCUCUGUAAGAUGUGCAGAAGGAGAGCCUCCGUUCCACGUUCUUAGGAGGCUUACAUGAGUUGAACGAGUGAGUAUUUGUAAACUUCUUAGGCUAGUGCUUGCCAUAUAGUUCCUACAGACCUUGACACCGGUUGUCAGUCUUCUUUCUGGGCCCGGAGUCCAAAAUACGACAGGCCGAGGGCCAAAUCCAUCCCACUGGCUGGUUUUCUCCCUAAACUCCAUUUAGACUUGUCUGUUCACAUUAUUGUCCUGGGCUGUUUUGGCGCCUCAACGGCAAGAGCUGAAGAGUUGCGACAGACACCUUACAGGUCACAGAGCCAAAAAUACGGACUGUCCUAUCCUUUACAGGAAGCACUUGGCUGCCCUCCUCUCCUAGAGCAUGU